UACGGAGGGUGCAAGCGUUAUCCGGAUUCACUGGGUUUAAAGGGUGCGUAGGCGGAUAGGUAAGUCCGUGGUGAAAUCCUGCAGCUUAACUGCAGAACUGCCAUGGAUACUAUCUAUCUUGAAUGUCGUGGAGGUUAGCGGAAUAUGUCAUGUAGCGGUGAAAUGCUUAGAGAUGACAUAGAACACCCAUUGCGAAGGCAGCUAACUACGCGAUAAUUGACGCUGAGACGAAAGCGUGGGGAUCAAACAGGA
rnacentral:rRNA from 1 species